CCUCUAGAGGGGGAUAACUCGGGGAAACACGGGCUAAUACCGCAUAAUCUCUAGGGAGGAAAGCGGGGGACGGAAAGGCCUCGCGCUGGGGGAUGAGCCUGCGUCCGAUUAGCUAGUCGGUGGGGUAAGGGCCUACCAAGGCGAUGAUCGGUAGCUGGUCUGAGAGGACGAUCAAGCCACACUGGGACUGAGMCACGGCCCAGACUCCUACGGGAGGCAGCAAGUGGGGAAUAUUGGMCAWUGGGGGCAACCCUGAUCCAGCAAUGCCGCGUGGGUKARGAAAGCUUUCGGGUUGUAAAGCCCUUUCASUGGGGAAGAAAGCGAUGUGUGAAUAGCACAUCGUGUUGACGUUACCUACAGAAGAAGCACCGGCUAACYCCGUGCCAGCAGCCGCGGUAAUACGGAGGGUGCVAVCGUUAAUCGGAAUUACUGGGCGUAAAGGCGCGUAGCGGUUUGGUAAGUUGGGUGUGAAAGCCCCGGGCUCAACCUGGGAAUGGCACUUGAUACUGCCUGGCUAGAGUAUGGUAGAGGGAGGCGGAAUUUCCGGUGUAGCGGUUAAAUGCGUAGAUAUCGGAAGGAMCACCAGUGGCGAARGCGGCCUCCUKGACCACUAYUGACGCUUARGUKCGAAAGCGUGGGGAGCAAACAGGRUUAGAUACCCUGGUAGKCCMCGCCCUAAACCAUKAGAACUARACGUUGGRAGGRAUAGCCUUUAAAGGUGCAACUAACGCGUUAAGUUCCCCGCUUGGGAGUCCGGCCGCAAGGCUGAAACUCCNAUGAAUUUACGGGGGCCCGCACAAGCGGUGGGGCAUGUGUUUAAUUCGAUGCAACGCGAAGAACCUUACCUGGCCUUGACAUCCCCCGGAACUUUGCUGAAAGGCGAAGGUGCUUCGGGAGCCGGGAGACAGGUGCUGCAUGGCUGUCGUCAGCUCGUG
rnacentral:rRNA from 1 species